GGAAACCCUAGGCUGACGAGGAACCUGGAAGUCAAGAAAAGAAGAGUUGAAAUUGUGGGACCCAUCCACUCCUCACUAGAUUGUAUCCUCAACCCUAUCUGACCUUAUUGCUGCUCACACUCUAUGUCCCAGGAUGAACUCUCAAGAUCAUGGAGGAGUGUCCCCUUUGACCUGAAGCACCUGCUCAGCUGGGAACCAAAUUCAAGGGGGAGGUGACUUGGAUGCUGGCAAUUCUCGACCCGCCUCCCGAUAUACUGGGGAUUCAUGAUCCACAGAAAAAUAGAGAACACAGCCCUGCGACUAAAGCAACGCCACACAGACAAGCCAUCAAAAUGUUGAGAGACUCAAAUAAAGAAGCACUGAAGUG